ACAAAACUCUGCAGUGCUUCGUCCCUCUGAGUUUGACACACCUGCUCAAAUGGGCCUGGAUACAUUCCCCGACUAUCAAUUUCCUGUCUGCCACUUUCUCUUUCCUCAAGUGACUGUCAUUCCCUUAGUAGAGUGAUGUGAAGAGUAAGAGAUACAACAAGA